rnacentral:rRNA from 1 species
CCUACGCGAGGCAGCAGUGGGGAAUAUUGCACAAUGGGGGAAACCCUGAUGCAGCGAUGCCGCGUGUGUGAAGAAGUAAUUCGUUACGUAAAGCACUAUCAGCAGGGAAGAAAAUGACGGUACUUGAGUAAGAAGCCCCUGCUAAAUACGUACCAGCAGCCGCGGUAAUACGGAGGGGGCAAGCGUUAUCCGGAUUUACUGGGUGUAAAGGGAGCGUAGACGGUGGGACAAGUCUGGAGUGAAAUGCCGCGGCUUAACUGCGGAACUGCAUUGGAAACUGGCGAACUAGAGUGCGGGAGGGGGAAGCAGAAUUCCUAGUGUAGCGGUGAAAUGCGUAGAUAUUAGGAGGAACACCGGUGGCGAAGGCGGCUUACUGGAC